rnacentral:lncRNA from 1 species
AUCCCUCUCUCCCUCUCCCUCCCUUCUCUGCUCUCCCUCCCCUCUCUCCCUCCCCUCUGGCUCCCUCUCUCCCUCUCCUCCCUCUCCCUCUCCUUCCCCUCUCUCCCUCUCCUUCCCCUCUCUCCCUCUCCCUCCCCCUCCCCCUACCUCCCCUCUGGCUCCCUCUCUCCCUCUCCCUCCCCUCUGGCUUCCUCUCUCCCUCUCCCUCCUUCCCUGCUCUCCCUCCCCCUCCCCCUACCUCCCCUCUGGCUCCUCUCUCCCUCUCCUCCCUUCCUGCUCUCUCUCCCUCCCCCUCCCUCCCCUCUGGCUUCCUCUCUCCCUCUCCCUCUCCUUCCCUCUCUCCUCCCCCUCCCCCUACCUCCCCUCUGGCUCCCUCUCUCCCUCUCCCUCCCUUCCCUACUCUCCCUCUCCUCCCUCUCCUCCCCUCCCUCUCCCCUCCCUCUGUCUCAGUCCUUCCCUCUCUCCCUCUCCCUCCCUCUCCGUCCCUUCCCUGCUCUCCCUCCCCUCCCCCUCCCCCUCCCUCCCCUCUGGCUCCCUCUCUCCCCUCCCUCCCUUCCCUGCUCUCCCUCCCCCUCUCUCCCCUCUAGAUCCCUCUCUCCCCUCCCCCUCCCUCUGUCUCAGUCCUUCCCUCUCUCCCUCUCCCUCUCCUUCCCUCUCCCUCCCUUCCCUGCUCUCUCUCCCUCUCCCUCCCCUCCCCUCCCCUCUGGCUCCUCUCUCCCUCUCCCUCUCCCUCCCCUCUGGCUCCCUCUCUCCCUCUCCCUCCCUCUCCCUCCCUCUCCCUCCCCUCUCUCUCCCCUCCCUCCCCUCCCCUCCCCCUCCCUCUGUCUCAGUCCUUCCCUCUCUCCCUCUCCCUCCCUCCUCCCUCUCCCUCCUCUCCCUCCCCCUCCCCCUCCCUCCCCCUCCCCUCUGGCUCCCUCUCUCCCUCUCCCUCCUUCCCUGCUCUCUCUCCCCCUCCCUCCCCUCCCCUCUGGCUCCCUCUCUCCCUCUCCUCCCCUCCCUCUCCCCUCUCUCCCUCCCCCUCCCUCUCCCCCCCCCUCCCCCACAGGAAGCAGAGUGCACACGCACCUGCACACCUGUGCUGACCAGGCAGGAGGCCCCCCGAUAGAGCCAGAGUGGCUGGCUGGAACUGUUAAUUACAUCAGGGGCACAGGGCAAAUGGCGAUUGAUGAAAGAAGAAACGUGAUGAGAAGCCCGACCUUCAGGAAAAGGUUUAGGCCCCCCCAGCGGUCAAAGAAUGGCGAAUUAAAGCAGCCAGGCAGGACGGGCUCUCUCCUAGUCGUCAACAAGAAGUCAAACAGAAUCGCAGCCUGGUGGCUGUGGCCACUCUGGCCGCGCUGGGGCGGGUGGUCGCUGAAGAUUUACGGCGGCGAUGACUUCAGCUCUGCAGCGUCUUUGAUCUGCUUGUAA